UUCCUGGUGGUCUAGUGAUUAGGACUCAGCACUUUCAUUGGCAUGGCCCAGGUUCAAUCCCUGGUCAGGGAA
rnacentral:tRNA from 1 species